rnacentral:lncRNA from 1 species
UGUUCAUCAACAUUAUUAUUACAAAAAUAUGUCUAGAUUUUCAUUUUCUAACUUCAAGCCCUUAAGAUUCUGUGUCUGUUUUGUAUUUUGCUAUUUUUAUUAUUUUCUCAAAGGAAGCUUUGUUAUUAGACCUUCUAUUAAAAUGUUAUGGUGCUAGAUAUACUAUUUAUUUGUUGCAAGUUCAAGAUCUAAGGCUUGUUUGUUUGGAAGUCUUGGAUCUAAUUACUGUCUUAAGUGUUUGUUGGUUUCAAGUGGUGUGCAAUUUUUUUUAUCAUGUUUUUUUUUUUUUUAUCAAAGAUAAGAGACUCGAACCCGC